GUACUCCUGGUCUGCUGCUCAGACUGAUGUACAGAAAUUCGUGCUGGUGGAAUAUAGAAAUGCUUGGGGAAAUAAUGCUAAUGUUUUGUUUCUUUAACAGGAAUUCAUGAUGCUUGUCUGCAGGGCCCAGUUCCUACUGAUGGGUAAUGAAACCAACUGGAAGAAGAGCUGUGAAAAUGUGACCCCUUGCUUCCUGUGAGCACUAGGGAAAAGGCUUCUAGAAGAAACUGGUAGCAUCCAGGCAGGAUGCUACAAAACUUCAGCUGUUCUUUUUUGUGACUUCAGUGUGUAGUAUGGAACAUGGAGAAUGUUGAGCAUUUUCCAUGGAGAUGCCAUGUCCCAGCCUCCCAGUUUUACAGGUGUGACUGUCGACAUCUGACUAUAACACAAGUUCUGCAUUUUCAAUCAGAGCAGUGAGUGUCUGAGUGUGCUGCAUUUC